GGGCCGCACGCGCGCUACACUGACGGAGCCAGCGAGUCUAACCUUGGCCGAGAGGCUCGGGUAAUCUUGUGAAACUCCGUCGUGCUGGGGAUAGAGCAUUGUAAUUAUUGCUCUUCAACGAGGAAUUCCUAGUAAGCGCAAGUCAUCAGCUUGCGUUGAUUACGUCCC
rnacentral:rRNA from 2 species